UACGUCGGGGGCGAGCGUUGUCCGGAUUUACUGGGCGUAAAACGCUUGUAGGCGGUCACGCCAAGUCGGAUGUGAAAUCUCCCGGCUUAACUGGGAGGGGUCAUUCGAUACUGGCGGACUCGAGGCAGGUAGGGGGAAGCGGAAUUCCCGGUGUAGUGGUGGAAUGCGUAGAGAUCGGGAGGAAGGCCGGUGGCGAAGGCGGCGCUCUGGAACAUUUCUGACGCUGAGGCUCGAAAGCGUGGGGAGCAAACAGG
rnacentral:rRNA from 1 species